rnacentral:rRNA from 1 species
UACGGGGGGGGCAAGCGUUGUUCGGAAUUACUGGGCGUAAAGGGCUCGUAGGUGGCCAACUAAGUCAGACGUGAAAUCCCUCGGCUUAACCGGGGAACUGCGUCUGAUACUGGAUGGCUUGAGUUUGGGAGAGGGAUGCGGAAUUCCAGGUGUAGCGGUGAAAUGCGCAGAUAUCAGGAAGAACACCCGUGGCGAAGGCGGCUCUCUGGGACGGUACUGACGCUGAGACGCGAAAGCGUGGGGAGCGAACAGG